AGAUAACUACGACCUAACAUAGCAUGAAUAUUCAAUCUCACAGUACGUUAGAAGACAAUUGUUAUAAUAGUAUUUUGUUUGACUUUCUAUUUUCUAUUACAGAUGGAAUACUUGCAUGACCAGGAAGCUUGUGGUGCUGAUCCAGAACAUGGAGCCAUAGUACCAGAAACUGCAUGCCCCUUGUCUCAGCUUUGGAGAAUUGGGAGGAUGCAAGUACCGGUGCAAGAGCCAGAUCUGUCUGAGAUGGAAUACUUGCAUGACCAGGAAGCUUGUGGUGCUGAUCCAGAACAUGGAGCCAUAGUACCAGAAACUGCAUGUCCCUUGUCAGCUGAGGCUCUUGCUGCCUUACAAGAUAUUAACCCCACUGCAGAGUCCUCUUCUCUUGGGCGGGAUAUCUAUAUGCAUGCUCUUCAAUUGGUCUCAUUCCUUAUGUGAGAGCUGGAUAAGCAGUUUACAAAACAUAGCAUUUGUUUGUUUUGUAAUAUUGAACUCUGUAUUUGACCUCUUUGGAGUUUCUUGUAAGCCCAUAUGGGCUGGGCUUUUUGAAGCAUGACACUUAAAUUCAAUAAAUCAAUCAUAUCUAUUUGAUGGAACCCUUCCCUCCAGAAAACCCAAUGAUGGCCAGUGGUCCAAACAGUUUAUUAUACAUAUUUAUCCAUUUUCUCUAUUAGAAACAAAGAUAUGUAUGGUUUUGCAGACAAAAGGCAAAUAUGUGUAGUAACAUUGUGGUUUAUAGUCCUUGAAAACAGAAAAUGUCCUUUUACAUGAAUGUCAGAGGACAGCCUUGCACGAGAACAGAAAAUGUGCUGGCAUAACUUCAAGUCAACUACAUUACUCGAACCUCACUCACACAGUAGCAUCAACUAUAAUGAUCUUUAAAAUCUAUCAAAAGACCAUAAGUCUAGGAAUGAUAAAAUACUUCCCAAACGAACAGAAGCAUAUCUGGAACAAUACAUUAAACUGUAAAUCACCAAGAACAGAUUUCCAAAAAAUCCUCAAGGUUUGCUGAUGUCACAAUUUUUUCUCGUUAAUUAAUUUCUCUUGUGAAUGAAAUUUUAAACAAAAAGCAACGUGGGUGUCUUACAAUAUGACAACUAAAAACACAAUAGAUUAUAGGUUGUAUCAGUGAUUUCAG
rnacentral:lncRNA from 1 species